GACGAACGCUGGCGGCGUGCUUAACACAUGCAAGUCGAACGGAAAGGCCCUGCUUGCAGGGUACUCGAGUGGCGAACGGGUGAGUAACACGUGGGUGAUCUGCCCUGCACUUCGGGAUAAGCCUGGGAAACUGGGUCUAAUACCGGAUAGGAGCCAUUUUUAGUGUGAUGGUUGGAAAGUUUUUUCGGUGUAGGAUGAGCUCGCGGCCUAUCAGCUUGUUGGUGGGGUAAUGGCCUACCAAGGCGGCGACGGGUAGCCGGCCUGAGAGGGUGGACGGCCACACUGGGACUGAGAUACGGCCCAGACUCCUACGGGAGGCAGCAGUGGGGAAUAUUGCACCAUGGGCGCCAGCCUGAUGAAGAGACGCCGCGUGGGGGAUGACGGCCUUCGGGUUGUAAACUCCUUUCGAUAGGGACGAAGCUUUUUGUGACGGUACCUAGAUAAGAAGCACCGGCUAACUACGUG
rnacentral:rRNA from 1 species